GACAGAUAUUCAUUGCAUAUAAAUUGUGGUGGAGGUGCAACUAAAAUUGGAAGCAUCACCUAUGAAGCGGAUGAAGAGCCAACAGCUGCAGCAAAAUAUGUUCCAAUUAGGGAGAGUUGGGAAAUUAGUAGUACUGGACAUUUCUGGGAUAAAAACAGAUCCUCAAGCGACUACACAGCCCAAAAUUCAUCCAUCCUCAGGAUGGAGGAUUCUGAAUUGUAUAUGAGAGCACGUGUUUCCCCUCUCUCUCUUUCAUACUAUGCACGUUGCUUAGCAAAUGGAAAUUACAGUGUGAAGCUUCAUUUUGCUGAGAUAGUAAUGAGGGAUAACAGAUCCUUCUACAGUCUUGGGAGACGGAUAUUUGAUGUUUAUAUCCAGGUGAGUAGUCAAUGUUAUUGAAAUGCUUUAUCUGUAAGGGAAGAUUAUCUGAUUAAAUUUGCAUGUUGUAGGAAGAUCUCGUGUUGAAGGAUUUUGAUAUUGCAAAGGAAGCAAAAGGGGUAGAUAAGGUGAUCAUUCGGGAUUUUAGAGCAGUUGUUAAGGAUGGAACUUUAGAGAUCCGCUUUCAUUGGGCUGGGAAAGGGACAACAGCUAUCCCAAGGAGAGGAACAUAUGGUUCUCUCAUAUCUGCAAUUGAUGUAGAAUCUGGUUAGUUGUUCCUUUUAAAUUAUAGAAUUUUGUGCUAUCUUGUAUGGCGCAUGUACUAGAAUGACAUACUGCAGAUGCAUAUCUAUAUAUUAUAGGCAGUGAAUAUUACAUAGUUUUGUGGACUUGUGUGUGUGAAGUCUGACCAUCAGUGCUAUUGCUCUUUUAUAAUUUUGCAUAGAAUUCAAACCUCCCAUUUCCAGUGAAGACAAAAGGAAGAAACUCAUUGUGGCUGGAGCUGUUGUUUUGCCAUUGUUCCUCAUUUUCAUUAUUACUGGCAGUCUUUGGUGGAAAGGUUAUUUGGGAGGCAGGGCAGUCAAAGAACAAGGUACUGUGCAAAAAUAAAAUAAAAAAGCUGGUUUUUCUUUUCAUCCCUUCACUUCUUUCCUUUUUUUUUAAUUGGACUUACUUAACUUUGUUCCUCGUACAGAACUAUUAGGUUUAGAUCUGCAUACUGGUGUUUUCACCUACAGACAAAUUAAAGCUGCUACUAACAACUUCAAUCCAACUAACGAGCUUGGAGCUGGUGGAUUUGGAACAGUUUACAAGGUAUAUUACAUUGCUUAUAUCCUAUUUAUUCUUGAAAACUGUUUAUAUUCUUUUUCUUACUUGACGUUAGCAAAUGAAUGAUCAACUGGAAAAACAACUAUUAUUUUUUAUUCUUACUUCAGGGAACACUAUCAGAUGGUACUCUAAUUGCUGUUAAGCAGCUCUCUUCUAGAUCAAAGCAGGGAAAUCGAGAAUUCUUAAAUGAAAUAGGCAUGAUUUCUGUUUUACAACACCCAAAUCUUGUCAGGUUGUAUGGAUGUUGUGUUGAAGGGAAUCAAUUAUUAUUGGUCUAUGAAUACAUGGAAAACAAUAGCCUGGAACAUGCAUUAUUUGGUAAGCUUGCUGUUCUGUUCUUUACUUCAAUAUGUAGUUUGUGCACCUUGAUAAAUAAAUAAAAAAAAGAAGACAAAAAAAAAAAAAAAAAUGGCAGUGGUGAAUUUUAUUAAUUGCUCAUGUAUGCUGGUUGUAGAAACAGAGGAAACAGAGUCUAAAUUGGACUGGCCUACUAGGCAAAGGAGUUGUAUUGGCAUUGCAAAAGGUCUGGCUUUCCUGCAUGAAGAAUCUGCAUUGAAAAUUGUUCAUAGAGACAUCAAAACUGCUAAUAUACUGCUUGAUGGAGAGCUAAAUGCUAAGAUUUCUGAUUUUGGUUUGGCCAAGCUUGAUGAAGAUGAGAACACACACAUCAGCACCAGAGUUGCUGGAACUAUGUGAGCUACCCUUUUUCUCUAAUCCUUCACUAAUCUUUGUUGCAUGCUCUUUAGCAGUAUGCCUUUGUUUCUUUAUCUGAUCUCGAACCACAAUUAUGAGCAUGUGGCAAAUAUGUAGUCCUAAUUUCCUCAUGUCUUGAAAGUAACUGCAAUUAUGCCAUGAUUGUUAUCAGUUCCAAACAAAAAUAAUAUCUUUUUAUUGGAAAUGAAUUAUUACUUAAUUUCGUUAGAUGUAUAAUGGCAUAAAAUCCACGACAGCAUAUAAACAUAAUGUUGUCACUGAUGUGGGAAAGGCCUGCUAUAAAAGCAUGGGAAAGACGCAUUAUGCAUAUAUCUUUUCCUCACAGUUCCAGUCCCAAUAAGUCUAGUGGGGUACAUUCUUCUAUUGAUGUAAAUUUCAUAUAUUACAUUCUUUUUUACAGAGGGUACAUGGCACCGGAAUAUGCAUUAUGGGGUUACUUAACUCAGAAGGCAGAUGUUUACAGUUUUGGGGUUGUUGCGUUAGAAAUUGUUUCUGGGAAGAACAACAUGAAAUAUCGACCAGAUGAAGAUUUCGUCUGUCUUCUAGAUUGGGUAAGAUCCUCUAUCAUGUUCUUUUGAGUUCUGAUGCACUUGAAUAAAAGCCACACCUAAUGCACCAGGAUACUAAACGUGAAUAUCUGUUUGCUUCAAACAGAAACCAAGUUUCUUACUUUUUCUUUUUCUGAGUUGAACUUUUCAAAACAUUAUACUGAUGCCAAUCUUUCCGGAUUUUUUUUUGUGCGCGCUCCAUAAACAAGCGAGAAGUAAUUUGUAAAACAUUUGAAUGUUAAACUGUUGUCAAUUCAUGUUACAUCAUGGUUUGUUUGUUAGCCUAGGGAAUAUAUAUAUAUAUAUAUAUAUAUAUUUUAGCCCCUUUUUUUUCAAAUUUCUUUAUGUUGUUUCAGGCUUUUGUCUUACAACAAAAAGGAAACCUAAUGGAUCUAGUUGAUCCAAGAUUAGGCUCCAAGUUCAAGAAGGAAGAAGUGAUUAGAAUGGCAAAAGUAGCAUUGUUAUGCACUAACACUUCACCUGCUCUCAGACCUACAAUGUCUGAAGUAGUAGGUAUGCUUGAAGGUCGAACUCCUGUUCGUGAAUUGGUCAUGGGUUCAGGAUUUUAUGGUGAUGAAUUGAGAUCAAAAGUCUUGAGCAACCAGUAUGAUCAAAUUUCACUUCAUAGUUCAAGUGAUCCCCGGUCUUUUAUUCAUUCAUCAGAAGCAACAUGGACUGGCUCAUCCUCUACAUCUGGUCAGUAUACUAAUGCAUUUAAUCAUCAUUCUCAGAAUUGAAAGAAUCCAUUCGGCUAUCAAUUUCAUGAUUUUGCACAAAAUUUGCUCAUGAUGCUUUCCUUUUUUCAAAAAAAUUGAAGAACUAAAACAAUCAUAGUAUAUUGUGCAGCAUAAAUAAAGAGGAAAACAUUUGUUUGGUUUCAAUGGAAAAUUGCUGACUUGGGAGCUGAAGAUAGUAAAUCCAUGAUCCUGGAAUUCUACCCAGGGGUAGUGAAAGAACUUCUUAAAUGCUCUAUAUUGUAGAGUUUAAUACUGUUUCUGCUCCGUAAUAAAUCCCUUUUACUUGUUGACAUUUUGCAUAUACCAAAAUUUUGGCUUUAAACGAGUGUUCAUAUGUGUAUAGCCAAUACAACAACAAUUUCUAUCCAUGAAAGAGUAAUCUUGGUGUUUGAGAGUUUUGGGAGUAAACAAAUAAAUGAUUCCAUUUGUUCAUUCCGUAUCAGAAUUUGAUGUACAUUGAAAAUUUAAUGCUAGCAUUUUUAACUUUUAAUAUAUACUGUGUGGAGUUCAACAAGAUACUAAUUGUUGGCUUCCCAGACAAGAAGCCUGCACACUCCACAAAAUUUAUGUCGUUUUAAGCCGAAAUGUACUUGGUAUCAGAGACAAGCUGUCGUUCUACAGCUGAGCAUGUUAAAUAGAGCAACAAAACUAACCAUGUGUAUGUAAAAACGACAUAAUUCCGAAGACUGUUUGAUCUAUUAACAGAACUGCUUGGAGAAACCACACGAAACAUAAACAAGAUUAAUAGCGACUUUUCAAUACUCCAAUAUAUAUAUAUAUUUUUUUUUAAUUUUCAAAAUUGACCAAUCAAUUAAACUCGAAAUCAAUUUCUCAAAUCAAAACUAACUGCUCAUGGUAUUCACAUCUGUUAAUUUAAACAAAUUUGGGGGAAGAAAAGCACAAUUUAUUCGUUGGAUUUACUAUUUCUUGUCACAUAAAAUAGUUACAAGCUACGGAAAAACGAGGCAGGCCAACUACAACUCGUGAUUUCAUAAGUCCUACACAAAGCUAUAUAAAAGAAAUUGCAAUGAUCAUGAAAAGUGAAAUGAUUUCAUAAGUCCAUCGGCACAAUUUAUUGAGUUUGAAAUGAUCAUGAAAAGAAAUUGUUAUCGUUGACUCUAAUUGCAGAAGCUUUUGAUGAACUGAAAAUUUUAAAUAAUGAAUAAGAAAGAAUAUAUUGUAGGCCUGCUAUUUGCAACAAAGUGAAGAUCUGAUGCAGCUUGUUGACGAGACAUUGCGGUCUGAGUUUAACAAAGGAGAAGCAGAAAUUAUGGUCAAAGUAGCUUUGUUGUGCACAAACGCAUCCCCUACAAUCAGACCAACCAUGUCCGAGGUUGUGAACAUGCUCGAAGGCCGAACGGACGUUCCGGACGUGGUUCCAGAACCAGGUAGCUACACUGAAGAUUUAAGGUUUAAGGCCAUGAAAGACCUCCGCCAACACUCUCAAAGUUUAAGUGGGAGUCAAACCCAAAACUCAACUACAGGAAAUACAUUAGGCUCUUCCUCAUCUGACCAUAACUCCUAUGAGAUCACUCCAGAAUCGAAACCCUAACUGUACCGGAGUAUUAAUUGGACGCUUGAAGAAAGCCAUUGUCACCAAGGAAAAAGAAAUUCUUGAACAAUUGUCUCAUUGGAGUUUUGCUAAUUAAAUACAGGUGGGGAUGCAUUGAUGUUGUGUAAAUAUUUUGUAAAAUUUUAUGAAAUUAUAAAUAUAAUUUAUUCAAAUUAAAUCAGAUGAUUAUACACAUAAAUACUUUUAUAUAGAUUUGAGAGGCUGUUCCUAAUUUUGAAAAGAUUUAUAUCAGAUUUUGAGGAUAAUUUUAUUUAGAUCAAUUCCAUCACUAAGCUCCAAAUCCAAAUUGAUCAUAUUGGCAGCAAAAAUGCGUUUUGAGUCAUCCUCGAAAGAUCCGUUAGAUCACUUCAUAAUUGAUUGCUCCUUCCACACCUCCACAUAAUUUUCCAUAUGCCCCGACAUUCCUGUAGUCUCUGAUAGAGCUGAAGUAGUAUUUAGAAAUAACAAAUUAGCAAGUCUCUGUAGCCCAGUGGUAGGGCAUUUGCCUUUUAAGCAAGCGGUCGUGAGUUCGAACCUCACCAGAGGCACAAAAUUCUUUUUUGGCUUCUAUUGUUUAUUAAUAUCGUAUCAUAAUAAUUUUACAAAUUAAAAAAAAAAAAAAAAAAAAUCAACUUUCUGAGUCUGAGUUCUGUCAAAGUGCAGGAAUCAGUUAGCAAAUCCAGCUGCGCCUUAACAUCUGCUAAGUAGUAAGUACCAGUCAGUUUGGAAGGAUAUCCGUGCUAAAAAAAAAAAAAAAUCUCAGAUAUUCUCUGCAGCAGCGGUACGUACGGCAUAUGCUAAUGAGUCAAAAUUUACUUGCAUAUAUAAAAAUUUAUCCAUUUCUUAUUUUCUACAAAUCAAACAAGGCCCUAUUUUUAUUUGUUUAGUGGGUCAACAACGCCCAUCUCCAAAGCUAUAAUUUCUGUACAUUCAUUUAACAACACCACAGCCACAGCUCUGUCUCUAUCCGCACAGUAUGCUUUCUAACCAAUAAUGCAUGCGUGUAGGAUGUAAUGACUGACCUUUCCACAUUGCCAUGCCCGAACAGGAAAGAGAAAAAUUCCUUUUCAUUUCACAUUCAAUAUUAUUUGUCGAAGUCAUUGAUUUAUUUUUGAAACUUAAUUUUAUGAAAUUAUUUAAUUCCUUCAACUAAAAAAUAUUAUUUUUUACUAAUCAAUAUCUUGUAAUAUUUUGAUUAUUUGGUCAUUAAUUUCACAUUUGAAAUAGAUUAUUGUUCGACUUAUAUGUAAGGUCCAUCUUCAAACUUUAGGCAAGUCUCUUGACAUUCCAUCUAUCUAAGUAAAGCUUGAGAUGUUUUGUUUUUUCAUUAGUAAAAUAAAACCUUUUUAUUAGCGAGGAUAAUAUUGUAAUUUUUCAAAAAAAAUAUUACUAGUAUGCAACUAUGAUUAAAGAUUAUUAAUGCAAAAUAUAAUAAUUAAAAUUAAUAGUUUAAUUAUCUUUUUUUAUCAGUAAUCAAAUUAUUGAACUUGUCUAUAAAAGUUCUCAAAUUUUCAAAUGGGUUCCAAGUGACUGAGAGAGAAACAAGAAGAUGGCAAGAUGUGGUGAUACUUUGAGAACCACCUCUAUCUUCCUGAUAAUGUGCAUGGUGGUAGCAAUGAACAUUGUAGCACAAGCUUAGUAUCUUCCUAAAAAUGAAGGUAUAACUAGCUAUCAUAACUUCAUAACCGGGAGCGAAUAACCCAAAAUUUGAAAAUCAAAUAUAUGAGAAUUUGAUUUGUGUUUGUAGUCCAAGGUCUACGCGAAAUAGCAAAACAAGUUGGGAAAAAAGAUUGGAACUUUAGUGUGGCUCUUUGCAGUAAUCACUCAAGUUGGCAGACACCAAAUUCAGCAGAUAAGCCACUGUAUAACAAUAGUGUCAUCUGCAACUGCUCAUACCCACUUGGGCUUGCCAUGUUAUUAGCAUGUAAAAGAAUAAUUAUUUAUAAAAUAUUAUCCAAUUAAGUUUUUACCCACUCUAUUUGAUAGGUUCUAAUGCUAAAUUCUUUUAAUGCACAGAUUUCUUAAAGGGCAAGAUCUUGCUAGUGUUCUUCCAACGUCAAUUUUAUUAAUUUUUACUUGUUAUUUCAAUAUAAUAAUUGUUCAUGUGUUAUUUAAGAUGAAUAAUAAAAAAAUUAUAUAAAUAUAAUUCUUUUUUUAAUUAUAAUAAUUGUUAUUUUUUAAUUUAUGUGAAAAUAGAAAGUAUAUUAUUUUUUAAAAUAAAAUGAGUAAAAUUCAAUGCAGCAUUCGUGUGUAUUUCCUAUGAGAAUAAUGGGAAUUUGAACUUUAGGACCAUGAAAAUGAUUUUGCCUGCAGCUGGAAGCAAUUAAUUUUGAAAUGGAUAAAGAAUUUGGUCAAUUAAUAUUUUGCUUUCUCUCUUGGUUGGCUAUGACUUCCUCUCCCUCUCAUUCAAAAGAAAUCUGAAAUCUUUUUCAAAAACCGUCUUCUCGAUUUUUUCCCCUAUUUGGUCUUUUUCUAAUAUAACAUAACAUAAAUGUUUAAUAAAAAGGACAACUUGUUAAUCAAAAUGCAUCAAGCAAUCAACAACUUCGGCUAUGGAUCUAUUGCAACAGCAGCACGUGCUUCUCAUUUAAUUAAAUGUUGGGUAAAGCUAAAAGCCAAAAGUGGAUUAUUGAUUGAAGUCUUCGCGACGUUCACUAAAUAUUAUAUUACAUGUUGACCCAUCAAUCAUCUUAGGCCAGCACAGCCAUAACCCAUAAUAUAUAAACUUUUCAUUUGAAAAGGUGACAUUACAACGAAGAAAGAGGUUACCGCAUCUAACUCAACUGGGGAUUAUCCAUGUUUAAACUAUCCGUCUACUGACCAUUUCAUUGAUUUGCAGCUCACAGGCAUAGCUCAGGAAGGAGAAUAUGGCAAUGUUCCUUAAACUUUUAAGAACUUUUUUUAGCUCAGUUGUGUUUGUACUGCUGAUUUUCAUGGCCAUGUUAGCAACUGAAGUUAAAGCACAAGAAGGGCAACUUCCUAAUGCUGAAGGUAAAUCAAUUAAUGGGUUUUCUCCUUAACCCCUCAAAAUGCAGAAAGUGACAAGCUUUACGUAUGUGCAGUGGAAGCUUUAAAAGAAGUGGCAACACAAUUGGGGAAAAAAGACUGGAACUUUAACGUAGAUCCUUGCAGUAACGAUACAAGUUGGGCCACACCAAAUUCAGAUCGAAGUCCAUUUUUCAGAAAUAGAGUGAUUUGCAAUUGUUCUUUCCCUGAUGGAGAAUGCCAUGUAGUGAGCAUGUAAGAUCCCUCUUAAGUUUAUGUAACUCAUGUUCAUAUUUCAAUGUUCAAAUUACUUUUUGAAUUGUAGCGGUUAACUAACCAAAAGUAUUACUCAAUAAUUUUUGAGACUGGUGAUUUUUGUGGCCAGUGGGCCAAGUGAUACGGAUUGAUGUUGUGAAAGGGUAAUAAAUGCUACUUAGUUAUCUUUUCUAGGUCAAUGAGAAGUUAUAAUUACAUUUUUCAUUUAGAAUACUAGAUUUUGGAAUUUCUAUAAAUUCUGGUGGUGGAAUUUAUGGACCUUGAAUUCUUGUUAUACAGAAGGCUUGAUGGACAAGAUCUUGCUGGUGUGCUGCCUCGUGCUAUUGCGAAACUACCUAACCUUACUUUCCUGUAAGAAGUUUGUUAAUUUCGAUCAAUUUGUGUACACCGUUUAACACCUGUAAAAUGGACUGGAAGCUUAUAUCAAUUACAAUUUUACUGGUGCACAGUUCUCUUGAUCGGAACUACCUCAGCGGUAAUAUACCAAGUGAAUGGGCUUCUAUGAAGUUGGAAAUCCUGUAAGCAGUGUCUGCAAGUCAACGUUAUUAUCGCUAAUGAAUGUUCAUUUGUACUGAAUUAAAAUGCACUGCAGGAUCGUUCCUGCUAACCGAUUAACAGGACAAAUCCCAGGCUAUUUGGGAAACAUUGUGACACUUAGAGGCUUGUAUGACAGCUCGAUAUCUCUCUUUUAUUGCAUUUUCAGUAGAAAGUAAUUUAAACUGUUUACGUGAUUAGCUUGUGAUAAUCUUGAGCUAAAAUUUAUUCAGGAGCCUUGAGACAAAUAUGUUUUCGGGAACUGUUCCCCCUGAGCUUGGAAACUUGGUUAACUUGGAGAUUCUGUUAGUCCCUUAAACCUUUUCUGUCAGAAAAUAGUCUUUGAUUUUGAUAAUAAAUAGUAAAUUGACAUUAUUAUUUGUAUAUAUUGUUUUUGCUCUUAGCUUUCUUAGCGCAAACAAUCUGACUGGAACAUUACCGGUGGCUCUCACAAAUUUGACAAAGCUAACGGAGCUGUAAGUCUUUGUAACAUUUGACAAUGUUGAAUGCUGUUAGGUUUAAAAUUUCUUUAUCGAAUUGAUCUCUUAACUUUUGUUUCUUUUUAAUCUAGUUUUUGAUUUGGGUCAUAUGCAGUAGGAUUAGCAGCAACAACUUCAUUGGAAAAUUGCCUAAUUAUUUUCAAAGCUGGAAAAAUCUUCAGAAACUGUAUGUACCUUUUCCUAUCUCAAAUUCUGAAUCUGAUAUGCUAGUUUCUUUUUUUUUUUCUUUUUUUUAUAAAUGAAUUCUAAAUCCCUUUUGAAUUGCAUGCUAAUAGAGAAAUCCAAGCUAGUGGUCUUGAAGGGCCCAUUCCUUCUAGCAUUUCUGCUUUGAAUAAUUUAACUGAACUGUAAGUUUUGCCUUUUAAGUUGAUCACUCAUACAAUCUUACUUAUCCUUAUAUCCUCAUGUGCUUUUGAAAGUUGAAAACUGUGUAUCUGACAAUUAUUCUUAUUCUAUAUUGUGUAGAAGGAUUAGUGACUUACGAGGAGAAGGUUCAGAGUUUCCGCAGUUACAAAACUUGACAGGGAUGAAUAAGUUGUAAGUCCUUAUUGACGUUGAUGGAUACUUUAAAAUAAGAAUAUAUCUUCUGCAGUAAUUUGGCUUAUGCGAAGAUAAUUCAUGUUGCAGAAUGUUGAGGAAUUGUAAUAUAUCUGGAUCUAUCCCACCAUUUUUUGCACCAAUGCCAAAUUUGAAAAUUUUGUAAUCAUUUGUUCCCUUGCUUCCAUUUUUUUUUCCCUUUAUUUAUACAAGAAAAAUUGGAGGCUUAUUAUUUAUUAUAAUUAAGAUUAUAAUUAACUUAUUAUUUUCCCUGCAAACUAAUCUUUAAAGAUUUUUGUCAUCAGUUGUUCUAGUUAAAAAACAGAAAUAUUUCCAUGCAGAGAUCUCAGUUUCAACAGAUUGGGGGGAAGUCUUUUGGCAGAUCUUGAAGGUCUAACGAAAAUGGAGAAUGUGUAAGUUUCUAAAUUCAUGAUGGUGGUUAGAUUGUAUAGCUUCUAGUGCAUAGGGAGGCUUUCAAUGUUUCAAAAUUCAAAUUUAACAAGUUGACACCUCACUUUGUAGCUUUAUAUUUUUUUGAAGUCUAACAACACAUCUAGCAGAAGCCAAAAAAACUUAAAUUUAUAUGCUUAACUGUUAUUUAUAAUAUGAUCGCCUUCUAAAUUUGGUUUCAUCAAGGAUGCCCCUAUCCCUACCAUGAUCAGCAGCUGCACAAUUGCUUUAUGAAUCUUUAUGCAAAUUUGUGCUUUAUGAAUGAAAAUCUGUACUUGAUUCUCUUUGAAUAAACAUCAAAUUUCCUUGAGUACUCUGUACUGCUUUUUGAAAUAGUAAUGAUGCUCGAAGGAUAAACUGAGAAGAGACUUUCUUUUCCUUUUCCUUGUAUAAUAUAAAAUUAUAACACUAUAUAUUGUAACACUUUGGAUAGCAUAUAAGUUAACCUUGAAAGUAAAUAAUGGCCUUUUGAGGGGAGAAAGUUUGACUGUCUCUUUUUACUCUCUUCCUUUCUCCUUCACGAAGUAUAAUGAUGAGUGUCUGCUAUCUAACAAAUUGACAUGAUGCUGCCUGAUGAAUAGGUAUCUAACAAGCAACUUGCUUUCUGGAUCCAUCCCUGAUUGGCUGACAAAUGGAGAUACUCGCGUGUAUGUGUGUUUUCCUAAAUCCUGCAUUUGUUUUUGCAUGAAAAUAUGUUGAUUAUGUAUUAUUAUUCCGUCCUAAAGAAAUUGUACUUCUGACUCAAAUAUAUAUUUGUUGUGCAUGCAUGCUCAGGUAACCUUACAAACAUAUAUUAUGUGUGUAAAUUCCUGAUCUGGACAAAGAUUCUCCUCUUUAGUUCAGUUGUAGAUUCCAUUCUGCCAUAUGGAAUGCAUGAAUCCGUAUCAUCUACAAAAAUUUUUCGAUGUUGUUCUUGCUUUAUAUGGAACAUGGAAGUGGACGUUGGUGUUGAAUUUUUGCCUUUCAUCCGCAUAAUUCUUUUUCAUCCAGUCUCAGGGAUUGAACCCAGAAAUUGUCUCAGUAGCAAUAGUGUGUCCUGCCUAGUGCUUAAGUUUAAUGAAGACUUGCGAUCAAAUCCCGCAGCUAGAGCCAACUAUUUUGCUUAUGGAUGAAGAGGGUUGUUUUAAUUUUUAUGCUGGCAAGGUUGGGUUUAGGGGUUGGGGAAGCUGAAUCCCUUGUGUUGCCUGCUCCACGGGGCCUCUAAUGUGGAAAAUUUUGGGGAAAAAAGUUUAACUGCCUCACAAAGUUGAGACUGGGCUAGUGCCUGACAUCUGAGUAGCCCUGGCUGAUCAUAGUGGAUUUAGAGAGAUAAAAAACCACGUUGGUGGAAACUGAUAAAUUAAAUGUGACUCGAAAGAGUUAAAAAGAUUUCUUCUUCUAGCAAUAGAAGAAGACAAAAAUUAGUGUACAACGAUACUGAACAUAUGUUAGAGUUAAGAACGCAGCAGAGAUAAUUUAAAGAAGAAGAGAGAAGAAGAGACAGAGGUUAGAUGAAAUUAGAGAUUGGAACUUCCAUUAAAUGAGAUUUCAGAUUUACAAGCAAGUCUUGAUUGAGGAGCAAGAAAGAUAAUAACAGAAAGGGAAAAUAAAGUAAAAAGGUUGCAAGCAACCCCCAGGACCAGAGAGAGAACCCCUGCUAAAAUAACAAACUCUAUAUUUUUCGAUAACCUCUCAUUCCAAUCACUAGCUAUAUAUAUGAUUACCCCCUAACAGAAUCUGUUGAUGUGUCCAGCAGUGUUGCUAAUUCUUUUGCUGCCCUCUUUGUUCUUUGUUUCUUCUAGAAUAAACCUUGUAGGGCCUUGGGCUUUUGUCAACAAUCCUAUCAGCAUAGCAGCCAAUUGUAAUUUUCUGUUGACAAUACAUUGUUUAGGUAUUAAUAUUUGGGUAAAACAUGUUAAAAGAAGUUUAAUUGUUUUGUGCAGUGAAAUAGAUAUUUCUCACAAUAAUUUUACUGAAAGCUCUUUGCCAUCUACUUGUCGAGAUACACUGUAAGAACAACGUAUUUUUCUUUGUUUGAAGAAUUUCAUUUUACUUUUACAUUCUAAACCUUAUCUUUUUGUUUAUUAUUCAGGAAUUUGUUCAGAAGCACCUCAGGAGUCAACGACUCGUAAGAUUCUUCUUUAUGAACUUCGCUAUCCCUAACCUCUGAACUCCAUUUUCUUAACAUUAGCUGACAGAUCUUUCUUACACUAUGUUUCAGAAAACCUGCUGAAUGUCUGAAAAACUAUGUUUGUUCCAAAGGUACUCAUUCUUCUGCAUCAAAGCACAUGCUACUUCUAUUAUGUUUGCUCAUGGCUGAUCAGUGAUCACUAUUAAUAUGUUGAAACCUCUGUAUAGACAGAUAUUCAUUGCAUAUAAAUUGUGGUGGAGGUGCAACUAAAAUGGGAAGCAUCACCUAUGAAGCGGAUGCAGAGCCAACAGCUGCAGCAAAAUAUGUUCCAAUUAGGGAGAGUUGGGAAAUUAGUAAUACUGGACAUUUCUGGGAUAAAAACAGAUCCUCAAGCGACUACAUAGCCCAAAAUUCAUCCAUCCUCAGG
rnacentral:lncRNA from 1 species